rnacentral:rRNA from 1 species
UGAGGAAUCUUCCGCAAUGGGCGAAAGCCUGACGGAGCAACGCCGCGUGCAGGAUGAAGGCUUUCGGGUUGUAAACUGCUUUUAUACGGGAAGAUUAUGACGGUACCGUAUGAAUAAGGACCGGCUAACUACGUGCCAGCAGCCGCGGUAAUACGUAGGGUUCAAGCGCUAUCCGGAAUUACUGGGCGUAAAGCGUGCGUAGGCGGGUGUUUGCGUGCAAUGCGAAAUCCAAUGGCUCAACCGCUGGACUGUAUUGCAUACGGAACGCCUAGAGGACGGCAGAGGCAAGUGGAAUUACCGGUGUAGGGGUGAAAUCCGUAGAUAUCGGUAGGAACACCAAUGGCGAAGGCAGCUUGCUGGGCCGACCCUGACGCUAAGGCACGAAAGCGUGGGGAGCGAACAG